AAAGGCUCCUCCUCUGAAUUUCCAGUGCUACAAUUUCCAAAUGAAGCAGAACACCUAGAUGGAGGGUAAAUCCCGGACCUAUAUCCACGAAUGGCUACAACAUUGGGCUCAUUGAAGGCAUAGUUCUAUACAAUCUUGAAGCUAAUACAGCCUACAGUAGAAAUAAGAGUUGCUGCAGCUUACUGUACUUUGGGACUUAGCCAAGCUCCAUAUCUCUCUUCAAGCUCUUGAGGGAUGUCAUAAUGAGUCAAUGAUGCAAAGGGAGAAAUUCCUGGAAAUUCAUAUACAUUAUUCUUUCCCCCCUGUUACUAGCACUAUUAUCAUGGCUUCAAGUAGCUGACGUAGAGUAGAAGUAACCUUUAUCUUGGAGUGCAUCAAUAAGCUUGUUGUAGUGCUUAAUUCCAGCCAUAUUCACAUUUCCAAAUCUCCCUUCUGAUCCACAAUGAAUAAAUAGCAGUCUUGUCACAGAAAAAAAAAAUAACAAUAACAAUAAUAAUAAGAUGAAAUUGAAGGAAAAGCAGGAGUUUCUUGAAGUGCAAAUCAGUUUCUCAUCCAAUUGCAAAAUAGAGAGAGAGAAGAGAGAGAGAGAGAGAGAGCUACCAUUUAAACUAAGACUUACUGGGAAGUACUCUAGCCCAUGAUAUAGAGAAGCGAUAGCUAUUCACACCGAGAUCUUCCAUCAGAUCAAGAUCCUCCUGUAUUUGUUGUCAGGACAUUGAAUUAUUAUCUGAUUCAUUUCUUCUUUUCAUAUUUCUCUUUUGCAAUGUUCAGCCCGUUAUACAGAUUAUGAGCCAUUUAGACUACAUUUAGUUUUACUACUGUAAAACAUCAUUCUGCUGAUGUCCUACAGGGAUCAAAAUAGCAAUCUAGUCUGGUAAUAUUACUGAAACAGGCAAAAUAGCAAUUGCCCGUUUUGCUCUUGCUUAAGAAAAAAGAAAAAAAGACUGGCAGUCUGGUGUCUUUCUUUCAUGCAAUCCUACACAAUCCUGAUGAUCUAAAAACUUAGGCUGUUGUAUAGAAGUUAUUUCUCACUGACAUAGUUACUGUUGUUAGUUUAAUCAUCCAUGAAACAGGUAAGAAGGCGUAGUUUGGUUACUAGGAGAUUUGAGAAUGUUUUUGCCGCAAAAAGGUUAGAGUGCACAAAACACUUUUGGCGGUACCAGACUAUUCUGCAAUUACCAUGAGCUUUAACUCUUGCUUUCAACCAAUAAUCUAUUGAUUUCUUGAGGCAACUAUUCCUUCUAUAUUCACUUGAAAGAGAUGGCUAUUUUGCGACAGCAUCGGCAUGAUGCUACUUCUGUAUCCAGUGGCUGAUGCUUGGACAGAGAAACAAAUUUCAGCCACCAGUGAAAAGAAUGUCCAGGUAGCAUCUACUAUUUUCUUAUCAGAAUGAUGCAGUGAAACACCAGGACAUCAUGUAUUUACCUGAAUACUCAAAAUGUGGAGUAUCACUGUUAGAAACCAAAAGACCAAGCUGCUUCUUGUAACCAAAUCAUCCCAACCACAAUGACUAUUUAAGCACAGCAUAACUAAGUUUAGCUUAAAGACAAACGACAAUGAUUAUUAUCAGAUUUCAAAACACUCAAGAGACUACAUAUUCCGAUACACUGCAACAGAAAAGUUGCAGUGGGAUCUACUCUAUAUGUCAAAUGGUAUGAAGACAUACAGCUUAUAUUUGCAUGGGAUCUACUCUCUAUGUCAAAUGGUAAGUUCCAUUAGAAAAACAAUCAUGAAAUUAGUCCUUUUUUUUUUUAUUACUUUACUUCAAUUGCAAGACAUCAACUGAAAUUUUGGUUCUCCAACUAUAAAUUGUUUUAGCUGUGAUAUUAACACAGGCUAGAAUUGCAUCAAGACAUAGUUUGUAGCUUACC